CUAUCCUGCAGGUUAAACGAAUCGCCUUAGAGUUUGAUCAUGGCUCAGGACGAACGCUGGCGGCGUGCCUAAUACAUGCAAGUCGAACGAGAAUUGCUUACACCGAGUGCUUGCACUCACCGUAAGAAAUUCGAGUGGCGGACGGGUGAGUAACACGUGGGUAACCUGCCUAUCAGAGGGGGAUAACACUUGGAAACAGGUGCUAAUACCGCAUAACAUUGAAAAGCGCAUGCUUUUCAAUUAAAAGGCGCUUCUGGUGUCACUGGUAGAUGGACCCGCGGCGUAUUAGCUAGUUGGUGGGGUAACGGCCUACCAAGGCAAUGAUACGUAGCCGAGUUGAGAGACUGAUCGGCCACAAUGGGACUGAGACACGGCCCAUACUCCUACGGGAGGCAGCAGUAGGGAAUCUUCCACAAUGGGCGCAAGCCUGAUGGAGCAACGCCGCGUGCGUGAAGAAGGUCUUCGGAUCGUAAAGCGCUGUUGUUAGAGAAGAACACGGAUAAGAGUAACUGUUUAUGCGUUGACGGUAUCUAACCAGAAAGUCACGGCUAACUACGUGCCAGCAGCCGCGGUAAUACGUAGGUGGCAAGCGUUGUCCGGAUUUAUUGGGCGUAAAGGGAACGCAGGCUGUUUUUUAAGUCCGAUGUGAAAGCCUUCGGCUUAACCGAAGAAGUGCAUUGGAAACUGGGAGACUUGAGUGCAGAAGAGGAGAGUGGAACUCCAUGUGUAGCGGUGAAAUGCGUAGAUAUAUGGAAGAACACCAGUGGCGAAAGCGGCUCUCUGGUCUGUAACUGACGCUGAGGUUCGAAAGCAUGGGUAGCGAACAGGAUUAGAUACCCUGGUAGUCC
rnacentral:rRNA from 1 species